rnacentral:rRNA from 1 species
AUUGAACGCUGGCGGCAGGCUUAACACAUGCAAGUCGCGCGAGCGGCGGACGUGUGAUUAAUUUCUUGUAAACUGCCUGAUGGAGGGGGAUACCUACUGGAAACUGUAACUAAUACCGCAUCCCAUCAGAUGUGCCCAGAUGGGAUUAGCUAGUAGGUGGGGUAAUAGCUAACCUAGGCGACGAUCCCUAGCUGGUCUGAGAGGAUGACCAGCCAAACUGGAACUGAGACACGGGCCAGACUCCGACGGGAGGCAGCAUGGGGGAAUAUUGCACAAUGGGCGCAAGCCUGAUGCAGCCAUGCCGCGUGUGUGAAGAAGGCCUUCGGGUUGUAAAGCACUUUCAGCGAGGAGGCGUUACUCGCAGAAGAAGCACCGGCUAACUCCGUGCCAGCAGCCGCGGUAAUUC